rnacentral:rRNA from 1 species
AGCAGCCGCGGUAAUUCCAGCUCCAAUAGCGUAUAUUAAAGUUGUUGCAGUUAAAAAGCUCGUAGUUGAAUUUCGGGGUCAAUACGUCGGUCGUGCCUCGGUACGCACUAACGUUAUUGAUCCCUCCCUUCUGACGAACCGUGAUGUCAUUAAUUUGGUAUUGCGGGGAAUCAGGACUGUUACCUUGAAAAAUUAGAGUGUUUAAAGCAGGCAAUCGCUCGAAUACAUUAGCAUGGAAUAAUGAAAUAGGACGUUCGAACCUAUUUUGUUGGUUUCUAGGAUCGACGUAAUGAUUAAUAGGGAUAGUUGGGGGCAUUAGCAUUCAAUUGUCAGAGGUGAAAUUCUUGGAUUUAUUGAAGACUAACUACUGCGAAAGCAUUUGCCAAGGAUGUUUUCAUUAAUCAAGAACGAAAGUUAGGGGAUCGAAGACGAUCAGAUACCGUCGUAGUC